ACACAUGCAAGUCGAGGGGAAACGACAUCGAAAGCUUGCUUUUGAUGGGCGUCGACCGGCGCACGGGUGAGUAACGCGUAUCCAACCUGCCCACCACUUGGGGAUAACCUUGCGAAAGUAAGACUAAUACCCAAUGACGUCUCUAGAAGACAUCUGAAGGAGAUUAAAGAUUUAUCGGUGAUGGAUGGGGAUGCGUCUGAUUAGCUUGUUGGCGGGGUAACGGCCCACCAAGGCGACGAUCAGUAGGGGUUCUGAGAGGAAGGUCCCCCACAUUGGAACUGAGACACGGUCCAAACUCCUACGGGAGGCAGCAGUGAGGAAUAUUGGUCAAUGGACGAGAGUCUGAACCAGCCAAGUAGCGUGCAGGAUGACGGCCCUAUGGGUUGUAAACUGCUUUUAUAAGGGAAUAAAGUGAGAGUCGUGACUCUUUUUGCAUGUACCUUAUGAAUAAGGACCGGCUAAUUCCGUGCCAGCAGCCGCGGUAAUACGGAAGGUCCGGGCGUUAUCCGGAUUUAUUGGGUUUAAAGGGAGCGUAGGCCGGAGAUUAAGCGUGUUGUGAAAUGUAGAUGCUCAACAUCUGAACUGCAGCGCGAACUGGUUUCCUUGAGUACGCACAAAGUGGGCGGAAUUCGUGGUGUAGCGGUGAAAUGCUUAGAUAUCACGAAGAACUCCGAUUGCGAAGGCAGCUCACUGGAGCGCAACUGACGCUGAAGCUCGAAAGUGCGGGUAUCGAACAGGAUUAGAUACCCUGGUAGUCCGCACGGUAAACGAUGGAUGCCCGCUGUUGGUCUGAAUAGGUCAGCGGCCAAGCGAAAGCAUUAAGCAUCCCACCUGGGGAGUACGCCGGCA
rnacentral:rRNA from 1 species